AUAUACUUUCAGUCACAGAAGGAGGUAAUUACAUCAUUUGCCUUUUCUUUUUUACUUUAUAUCUCAUCAUUAUAUUUUUCUUUUGUCCUCCCAUCAUUGGUUGUUUUUUACUCUUCACUGAAAUAUGCAGUAGGGAAGAGAAUUAUAUGCCUUGUUCUAAUUCAGGCUUCUUAAUGGACUUGAUGAGAACAUGAACUGAUUGAGGCUUGAGCCAUUUGAUGUAUGAAGAUGAAUGCUUAGCAGUAAGAAAUAUCUUGAGUUGCUUGAUUGCAUAAAAAUUGAAAUAUGAGUUAAGGCAUCAAAUGUAAGAUUCUAGGCGGGCCUUCAUUGGUGGUGGGCUUGAGUAGGGACUGCUAAGAGUGCGUAUUAUCUUUAUCAGUGCUAUACUUUGUAAACACGACCUUCAUUUGAAAAGAAUGAGAGGGUGUUUAACCUUUUGUAUAAGGUGCUAUCAUAAAAUGGUUACUUUCUUUCUGAUUUUGGAGUGAGAUGGGGCAGAUAAAUAUCUCUAUGGUUAACGUAGCCAAUAAAUUUGAGUGGGUUGAAUAUUAGUGAAGAGUUUAAAAGAGGAAAGAACUGUGGAAUUACGAAUGGCUAAGAGUAAAUGGUUUGGCUUAAUACUGUUUGAAAAGAGAAAUAAAAGUAAAAUCAGCUAUUGGGUGCCUAGAAUUUAUUUUUUACCCUUAAUAUAGAAAGAAGGGGUACUUAAUUUUGAGAUUCUCAAAUACAUUUAUGGACACAUAGAGACAAACUGUAAAAUGCCUUUGGAAAACUUAGAUUGAACUAAAUCUUGAUGUUAAUUUGCCUUUUCUAAUUUCAUUGUUAUGAUUGAUGAGCAUCCAAUUAACAGAUCGAUGUACUUCUAUGCUCUG
rnacentral:misc_RNA from 1 species